rnacentral:lncRNA from 1 species
AAGUGGAGACUCUGAUUUUUAAAUAAUAAUUCCAUUUCGAUUGUCACUUAAAUUGGAAAAAACUCUCUUAUACCCUUUAGGGGGUAAGAAAAAGGAGGUGUGACAACUCUGGCGACUCUGCUGGGGACAAGAACACAGAACUUCCGGUUCAGGGUUCAAGAAUUCGAGCUUAAAAUAAUUUAUAUUUGGCUUUAUUUAUUAUCUAGGUUUAUUAACAUACAACAACAACAACAACAACAACUACCCAGUGUAGUCCCACAAAGUGGGGUCUGGGGAGGGUANNNN